rnacentral:lncRNA from 1 species
UCAAAACAGUAAUGACACAAAAACAAAAUUUAUUUGACCGAACACACGCUUUAUUUGACUGGAAUAAAAGAUGGCUCACAAUUGAGCAACACACAGGAAGCAAACCCUGGAAAGAGGUGAUUGCACAUAAAAGAAAAAAAAUCUAUCCUAAUGGCAACGCGAAACUGUGAUCCCAUCGGGUUCCAACUCAGUUACACCUCAUAUGUCCUCA